rnacentral:rRNA from 1 species
UACAGAGGUGGCAAGCGUUGUUCGGAAUUACUGGGCGUAAAGGGCGCGUAGGCGGCCUUGUAAGUCUCGUGUGAAAGCCCUCGGCUUAACUGAGGAUCUGCACGGGAUACUGCGAGGCUUGAGUUCGGGAGAGGAAAGCGGAAUUCCGGGUGUAGCGGUGAAAUGCGUAGAUAUCGGGAGGAACAUCAGUGGCGAAGGCGGCUACCUGGCCCAAUACUGACACUCAGGUGCGACAGCGUGGGGAGCAAACAGG